GACGAACGCUGGCGGCGUGCUUAACACAUGCAAGUCGAACGGGAACGUCGUGCUUAGUGGGGCACGGGUGGGUGACGCGGGGGAACCUGCCCUUGGGUUCGGAACAACUCCCCGAGAGAGGUCUUAAUAACGGAGAAUGUCAUCGGACAAAAGAUUUAUCGCCUUUGGCUGGGGCCGCGUUGGUUUAGCUAGUUGGUAGGGUAAAAGCCUACCAAGGCGUCGAUCCAUAGCUGGUCUGAGAGGAUGAUCAGCCACACUGGGACUGAGACACGGCCCCGACUCCUGCGGGAGGCAGCGGUGGGGAAUAUUGGACAGUGGGCGAAAGGCUGCUCCAGCGCUGCCGCGUGAGUGAUGAAGGCCUUGGGGUUGUAAAGCUCUUUUACCCGGGAUGAUAAUGACAGUACCGGGAGAAUAAGCACCGGCUAACUCCGUG
rnacentral:rRNA from 1 species